UAGGUAAAGGCUUGGAUUACCAAAGCUUCAAAAAGUAUAUCAUCAUUUUGGAAGGUCUGUGAAAAGAACUUAGGUGAGCCCUUUUACCUUUUGGCAUUGUUUUAACAACGGUUUGUUUCUGGACUCAAAUCAUUGUUUUUGGUUAGGUUACAAUGCAAAUAAUUCUGAUUUGGAUGAGUCAAAAGGUGAUUUGAAAUAAAGAUCAAUAAGAUAUGUUUUAUUUAAACGGAAGAGUCUAGACAUUGUGGUGGAGAUAAAGCCCGUUUUUGAUUGUCAAUGAAGCGCUUUUCGCUUUGGGAGAGUACAAGAUAAUUUUAGAUAUUCAUAGGGGGUUGUUGCUGGUCUUCACCAAAGGCAAUCACAGGUUGGGCUAAUUGAAUCAUGCUAACGGACUCCUAUAUGUAUUUUUUCCGUGUGGCAUUCAUCAGUUUGGGUUUCUAUUGAAACAACCACAGUUGAAAC